UACGAAGGGUGCAAGCGUUAGUCGGAAUUACUGGGCGUAAAGCGUGCGUAGGUGGUCUCUUAAGUCCGUUGUGAAAGCCCUGGGCUCAACCUGGGAACUGCAGUGGAUACUGAGAAGCUAGAGUGUGUCAGAGGAUGGUGGAAUUCCCGGUGUAGCGGUGAAAUGCGUAGAGAUCGGGAGGAACAUCAGUGGCGGAAGGCGGCUCUCUGGGACGGUACUGACGGCUGAGACGCGAAAGCGUGGGGAGCGAACAGG
rnacentral:rRNA from 1 species